AGUAAUGCCUAGGAAUCUGCCUGGUAGUGGGGGAUAACGCUCGGAAACGGACGCUAAUACCGCAUACGUCCUACGGGAGAAAGCAGGGGACCUUCGGGCCUUGCGCUAUCAGAUGAGCCUAGGUCGGAUUAGCUAGUUGGUGGGGUAAUGGCUCACCAAGGCGACGAUCCGUAACUGGUCUGAGAGGAUGAUCAGUCACACUGGAACUGAGACACGGUCCAGACUCCUACGGGAGGCAGCAGUGGGGAAUAUUGGACAAUGGGCGAAAGCCUGAUCCAGCCAUGCCGCGUGUGUGAAGAAGGUCUUCGGAUUGUAAAGCACUUUAAGUUGGGAGGAAGGGCAGUUACCUAAUACGUGAUUGUUUUGACGUUACCGACAGAAUAAGCACCGGCUAACUCUGUGCCAGCAGCCGCGGUAAUACAGAGGGUGCAAGCGUUAAUCGGAAUUACUGGGCGUAAAGCGCGCGUAGGUGGUUCGUUAAGUUGAAUGUGAAAUCCCCGGGCUCAACCUGGGAACUGCAUCCAAAACUGGCGAGCUAGAGUACGGUAGAGGGUGGUGGAAUUUCCUGUGUAGCGGUGAAAUGCGUAGAUAUAGGAAGG
rnacentral:rRNA from 1 species